GUUGGGAUGGCAGAGUCCGGCAAAUGCAAAAGACCUAAACCCUUUUUCGCAGGGGUUCAAAUCCCCUUCCUAACU
rnacentral:tRNA from 1 species